UACGUAGGGUGCAGGCGUUAAUCGGAAUUACUGGGCGUAAAGCGUGCGCAGGCGGUUUCUUAAGUCAGAUGUGAAAGCCCCGGGCUUAACCUGGGAACUGCGUUUGAAACUGGGAGACUUGAGUGUGGCAGAGGGGGGUGGAAUUCCACGUGUAGCAGUGAAAUGCGUAGAUAUGUGGAGGAACACCGAUGGCGAAGGCAGCCCCCUGGGUUAACACUGACGCUCAUGCACGAAUGCGUGGGGAGCAAACAGG
rnacentral:rRNA from 1 species